GUGGGGAAUCUUGGACAAUGGGCGCAAGCCUGAUCCAGCCAUGCCGCGUGGGUGAUGAAGGCCCUAGGGUUGUAAAGCCCUUUCGGCGGGGAAGAUAAUGACGGUACCCGCAGAAGAAGCCCCGGCUAACUUCGUGCCAGCAGCCGCGGUAAUACGAAGGGGGCUAGCGUUGCUCGGAAUCACUGGGCGUAAAGCGCACGUAGGCGGACUCUUAAGUCAGGGGUGAAAUCCUGGAGCUCAACUCCAGAACUGCCUUUGAUACUGAGAGCCUUGAGUCCGGAAGAGGUAAGUGGAACUGCGAGUGUAGAGGUGAAAUUCGUAGAUAUUCGCAAGAACACCAGUGGCGAAGGCGGCUUACUGGUCCGGUACUGACGCUGAGGUGCGAAAGCGUGGGGAGCAAACAGGAUUAGAUACCCGAGUAGUCC
rnacentral:rRNA from 1 species